AUUGAACGCUGGCGGCAUGCCUUACACAUGCAAGUCGAACGGCAGCACGGGAGCUUGCUCCUGGUGGCGAGUGGCGAACGGGUGAGUAAUACAUCGGAACGUACCCUGAAGUGGGGGAUAACGUAGCGAAAGUUACGCUAAUACCGCAUAUUCUGUGAGCAGGAAAGAGGGGGAUCGCAAGACCUCUUGCUUUAGGAGCGGCCGAUGUCGGAUUAGCUAGUUGGUGAGGUAAAGGCUCACCAAGGCGACGAUCCGUAGCGGGUCUGAGAGGAUGAUCCGCCACACUGGGACUGAGACACGGCCCAGACUCCUACGGAGGCAGCAGUGGGGAAUUUUGGACAAUGGGCGCAAGCCUGAUCCAGCCAUGCCGCGUGAGUGAAGAAGGCCUU
rnacentral:rRNA from 1 species